AAAAAUUGGUGGCGUUUAUAGUUGCAAGCGAACUACGCAGUGCUAUACUGAAUUUUGAAUAACAGAGGAGCGUCUAAGAAAGUAGAAGUGACGAUGACGGAGCGGUAUGCAUAAAAGCAUGAUAACUACGGCGGCUGUCAAAACCAGUUAACCCCCAAAGAAUAGGCCGCGUUCCAUCGCCGUUGUGAACGAUAUCGAGCCACAUAAUCUCGAUCCGGUUUAACUUCAAAAAUCCCACACGAUCUCUCGCCGGUGGGGUAGGUAGGUUAAGGGCGAGACGUGAAGUUAUGCCGUCUUCCUACGAGGGUGGGUACCUUCUUUGGUUUCCCGCCCUCUUUCUCUGCUCUCGACGAAGUGUGCUGGUCGAAACAAGCAUAAAUGCAACGACACUUUAGAAGGCGGCAGUCCACAAAGCUCUAAGGUGGCCAAGACUCCCGGAGUUAGAAAAGGUUCGACACCGCAGGGGUUCUACUCAAAGCUAAUAGAGAAACAUUCUGACAUGCUGAUUUUUUUUUUAUUAGUAACGCCCUAUGUUCACGCUCAAUGAAAGAUCACACUUCCACAAGCCUCGUAAACCUGAUUUGUACGGUACAUUCUUCAGAUCGCAGGUCUAUGAAAAGCAUGUUUUAUUCUUUUGCUCCUAUUACCUUGCAACAUGAAUCACGAAUUUCAAAAGAAGCGCCUCCGGCGCGAGAAUUGGUAGUUUGUCGAUUUUAAAAAUAAAGAUUAAAUUUUAGAUUAUAUUAUUUUAUUGACAUAUGUAACGAUCGUUUAAAGAAUGAUAAAUAACUUGAAGAAAAUUAUCCAUUUAUCAAUGACAUUUAAUUUAUAUUUUAUAUAACCGUUUAUGUUAUCAAUCGAGAUUCGUAUUACUUCAACAAAACAUAACCAAUAACUAAUUAUAUAUAAGCGCCUAUGCGUCUAUUUGUCUAUGAAUAUCUACAUGUAAAAAACCAAUAAAAUAAGUAUAAGAAA